GGUCAGGAUAGCUCAGU
rnacentral:tRNA from 1 species